AGCCGAAACGCGCCCAAGAGGGUGAGUUCGACCGGGGAUCGCCGCCCGGCGCUGAGGAAGCAGGCGAAA
rnacentral:hammerhead_ribozyme from 2 species